rnacentral:rRNA from 1 species
GAGUCGAGUUAUUUGGGACUAUAGCUCUAAUAGUUUGGUUGGUGGUAAUGACACAUCAAAGGCUAAAUAUUGGUUAGAUCGAUGCAUAUUGCGGAGACCGAUAGCAUACAAGUACCGUAAGGGAACGAUGAAAAGCACCCUAUUGAGUUCACGGCACAGACUCGACGCGCGGUUCGCCGCGUGACCUGUCCAGUGCCCAACAACUACAGUGGGAGUGAAAGAGAGAGUGAAAUCGCCUAUACAUAAAAUAUGCACUACACACAGUAACUGCAUGCAGUCUGCGUUAGUACAAUCGGACAGAGUGUCGUAUCAUUGUAUGGCCGCCUAAUACAUAACACACACACAUUACACUGUGUAUUAUGGUCAGGCCCAUAGCUGGGUUCGCCCGCUAUACGCGACACAACUGUACGACCCGUUUUGAAACACGGACCAAGGAGUUCAACUGGAUUACGAGUCGUCGAGUAUUUAUGCACACACAUAUAAACUCACACGGCACAGCGAAAGCAACUUAAUCCUUUUACAGUGCUAGGUCGGCCGUCAAAAGUUGACCGCAGCACGCGCUGAGUGAGUAUAUGCGUGAGGGCCUCGUGUCAACGCGCGUACCUGUACGCCUUUGUGCGAACAGGAUCACUCAAGCGUUCAACGAGUAUAUCUUGUUGAGACCCGAAAGAUGGUGAACUAUGCUCGGAUAUGGCGAAGUCAGGUGAAAACUUGAUGGAAGCUUGCGUUGUGCGGAACUGACGUGCAAAUCGUUACCGCCUAACCUGAGUAUAGGGGCGAAAGACUCAUCGAACCAUCUAGUAGCUGGUUCCCUCCGAAGUUUCCCUCAGGAUAGC